rnacentral:misc_RNA from 1 species
UGACCGGCGGUGGGCCGGGCUCGACCACCGAGGUCGCCUCGAUCACCCUGAAACGGCAGGCGUUCGAGAGCUGGCGCACCGGGUAUUCCUCGGCCUUCGCCAUCAUCCUGUUCGUGGCGGUGUUCGGUCUCGCCAACAUCUACGUCAAGGUGCUGAACAAGGUGAAAAGUCGAUGAGCGCGGCUGCUCAUUCGGUCGUCGAGCCAAGCCCGGCAACCAAGCUGGUCGCCGGCAGCCUCGUCGUUUUCUACGCCGUGGUGUCGAUGAUCCCGCUGUUCUGGAUCUUUGCCACCAGCUUCAAGACGCCGCCGGAUUCGAUCGCCUAUCCGCCGAAAAUCCUGUUCCAGCCGAGCCUGGAAGGCUAUUGCAACCUGUUCACGACGCGCACCCGGCAGACGCCGGAAUACAUCAAUUCGCUGGGGCCGGCGACGUCGUUCUGCGACGAGACCACGCGCAAGCGCAACAUGGUGAUCGCCGGUCCGUCGAACUUCCUGCCGCGCUUCGUCAACUCGCUCAUCAUCGCUUUCGGCUCGACCUUCUGCGCCGUCUUCCUGGGAACGCUGGCCGCCUACGGCUUCUCGCGCUUCAAGGUGCCGCUCGCCGACGAUCUGCUGUUCUUCAUCCUGUCGACGCGGAUGAUGCCGCCGAUCGCGGUGGCGAUUCCCAUCUACCUGAUGUAUCGCGAGCUCGGCCUGUCCGACACUGCACUCGGCAUGAUCCUGCUCUACACCGCCGUCAACGUGUCGCUGGCGGUGUGGCUGCUCAAGGGCUUCAUCGACGAGAUCCCGCGCGAAUACGAGGAAGCGGCGAUGAUCGACGGCUAUACGCGGCUGCAGGCCUUCCGCAAGGUGGUGCUGCCGCAGGCCACCACCGGCAUUGCCGCGACCGCGAUUUUCUGCCUGAUCUUCGCCUGGAACGAAUACGCCUUCGCCGCGCUGCUGACCUCCGGCACCGCGCAGACCGCGCCGCCCUUCAUACCGACGAUCAUCGGCGAAGGCGGCCAGGACUGGCCGGCGGUGGCAGCCGGAACGACGAUCUUCCUGAUCCCGAUCCUGAUCUUCACCAUCCUGCUGCGCAAGCAGCUGCUGCGUGGCAUCACCUUCGGAGCGGUGCGCAAAUGAGCCGGGACAUCACCACGCCGCGCUCCGGCUGGCCUUCCUGGCUCCGCCGGGGGCCGCUCGAGAACAUCGCGACGGCGCUUAUCGGCAUAGGCUUCCUGAUGCUGUUCCAGCCGUUCGCGCUGGCGCUUUACACCUAUUCCUUCAUCACCAUGCUGGUCGGCACCGUGAUGUUCAUCGUCGUUU